AUUUAGUCAACCUUAUGUGGUGCCCUAGCCAAAAUGGCGCAAGGGAUAAUCGGGAAGCCAGUGAGAAUCUGGCACUGCCCCCGCAACGGUGAUAGGUGAGAGCUGGGUGCGCCAUGCCUUUAACAUCAUGGCGUUAAAAAAAUCUACGCUCGUCGUUUAAACCCUUUGUUUAGACUUAGCCUCAGUCCGGAGACCGGCCCUUAAGGUGAUUUUGAG
rnacentral:ncRNA from 2 species